UACCCCUACCCGCCCACGCGCCAUUCUCAUCAGACGGGCUUCCGGGAUUGCCGCGGAGAAACCCUUCUUGAUCGCGCGAAAGGACGACGCGCGGUGAUUGCGCGCACGAGGAAAGGCCAGGAGGCCGCGGCUCCACGCAACGCCCUUCCGCUCCGACCACCCCGCCGCCGCCUUCACACCGAUACGGCGCUCCGGGAUGGACCUCUCGCGCCGCCCCGUGACGUCCGCCUUCACCCAGCAGGAGUACUCGCCGUCCGUGGGCUCCUGAGGUGCCUCUCGCGGCGACAACUUUGUGUUCGGGAGUGGCGCGGCCGGGGCGCCGGAGAUGAGGAGGACCUUCUCGUCCGGAUCUGUAGCGGCGCUCGGCGGCUCUGGGAACACCACCGGAGGCAGUGGGAAUAGCACCGGAGGCUGCGUCGAGCGCGUUGCCGCCGGCCCCCUCGCCAGCGGGGUCCGCUGCAACACCGCCGUAGCCAUCGGGGUCACGGCCGCCGCCGGGCUCGUGGUCGUCAUCUGCUCCCGCAGGAUUCGACCGGUGCUUUGCUAGCUCCGUGAUGAUGCAGCUAUGCGAUUGCUGUUGACCUUGGAUUUUAUUGUUCCGUGAACUGCGAAUUUAGUUGGUUGCCACAUCGGGACAAAUCAGUUGUUUAUUGUGUAGCAACCGAAUUUAGUUGGUUGCUACAACAUAUGGUUAACUCAUUUUUUAUGUUUGAUUGUGCAAAGUUGCAUACGAACAUUACUUAGGGAAACAUGAAAGUACCCUCAAAAAACUUUUGAUCCUUCCUUAUUGAUGUUCUCUCCUACAAUCUGAUGUCCAUGCAUUUCGGAAAAGUUUAUUUCACCAAUUAUAUGGAUUGGGGUCAACUUAUUUUUACUUGCAGGUUUUUGCACUAAGAAGUCCAUUACUACACAAAGUUUUAGAUUAUGAGGAUGAAUUCUUAACAUUGUUAAUGGGCGUCCUUGAGUCUCACAGUCUACGAACAACAGGUUUGUUGUUGCUGUAUCAUAAGACUCUUUCUGCAUGAAAACACUAAUCUGUUUAGGACACUUGUAAGGGACGAAAUUGUAAUACAAGAAACUAAUGGAACAUGCAUUACAGUGUUGAUUCUGAGUGUCUUAUUUUCUGCAGCAAACCCCCCUUGGAUGCAGCUAUUGCGAAAAGAGAUUUCUUGCAGCAGUAACUAAUUAUUUUAAUAAAGCGAGCCAUAUUUCUUUAUGUAUAUACUUGCAUUACUAUCAUCAUAUCUGUCUCAUAAUUUACAUACCACCUGAAGUUAUUGGAAUGGUACCAUCCAGCCCUACAGGUCUAUUUGCUCUGUUAACUUACUUUAAUCUACUUAUGUAUGUGAAUCCAAACACUAGGCCUAACUGCCAACUGCUCUGUUAACUUACUUUAAUCUACUUAUGUAUGUGAUAUAUUACAAACUGAUUAAAUGACAAUCUUAACUAAGCAAGCUUGAUCUCGGAGACUAAAUUUUGAUUGUAUUUAUUUUAACUGUUCUAAAUUGUUUUCUUUCAGAUGGUUCUUUUUCAAAGUCAUUAUAUGGUCUCAGGAGGAGACCUGUUAAGGUUUCAGUGAAGAGAAAGAGCCCUGAUACAGAAUCCAAUGAGAAAGAGCCCCGGUACAGAAUCCUGGGACUAAUAUACAGUUUAAAUGCGAAAGGUCUGUUGUCGACAAAGAACGAAGAGGAGAUUACCUGGGAAAACUGUUCAGGUUGUGCCACACAUCACAGGUGAAAUACAAGAGUGGAUUGAACGCGUCGCAAUGAAUCCAGUUGCUGGCACAGAAGAGCCAGUUGAUGUCUGUGUCAUCGAACUUGGUGGCACAAUAGGAGACAUUGAAUCAAUGCCUUUCAUUGAAGCAUUAGGCCAUUUUUCAUAUUGUGCUGGAGUUGAUAGAGAAGUUAAAGAUGCCAUCAGAUGCUGACUUAAUGAAAAUUGCAAUUGCUGACUUAAAAAAAAAACUCUUCCAUUUCUCUGGAGGGUCGCCAGCGUGCAUUGCAGGAACUUUUUGUUCUUGUUGAGGCCAUUGACAAUGCUAAUGAUCUUGACAAACUUGGGGACCUUCUUCAUGUGACUCGAGAGCUUAAUAAUGAAAAUGAAGAAAUACGGACCACCUCUACAUGGGUCCUUGGUACAGUCAGUCAAAAUAAUGCACUUGUACAAAAUCAGGUAAUCGCAUUCACCAAGAGAAUGAGCAUUCUGAUUCCACUUUUGUUCCUUUUGUAGUUAGGGAAUGUGCAUCAUUAUUCAUUAUCCUGUGCAUGUCCUCUAAAUACAUUUUUUUUCUUAGUUAGCCUUGCAGAUUCUUAUUUGUUUGGUUAGUUGCCAACAAAACUUUGCCACGCCAAAUGGUAGUACGCGAUCCUUGUUUUGAGAUUUUUGGUUUUUCACAGUUCAGUAAUUCAAUUUCAGUCCUAUGAUUGCCUGCAACAUCAUACGGCACUGUGGUAUUGAUCAGCUCAGAUAUGUUCUCAACUACAAGUGGCACUCUUUUUGAAAUGGGUAGCUCAGUUGCAAUUUUUUAAAAGCAAAACUUUAUUAUCUCAUUAUCCGGGUAGUGAACAUUUCAAUGCAUUAUUCAGGUAAUCUAUCUUAGCUUGCAAUAUAUUUAGUUUCCUGACAUAAUGUAGACAUACACUCUGGCUGUUACUUUGCUUAUUUUGAAUAGGAUAUGUUCAUAAAUAAUAAUUAGCGUCCAGUAACUAGAUACUGGAUAUGAUGGUCAAUUAGAAAUACACAUGGAAUUUUAUUACAGGAUAAACAUUUAGCUAAUAAGUUUUUUUUAUUACAGGAGGUUUAGCUAAUUAAACUUGCUAGAAAGAUAAAAUGGAAUCUUUAGAACGGAACAGCAUGGGGGGCAUUCUGAAAUUUAUAAACUUUUGGAGGUAUGUAUGCAUACAGGUUUUACACGACCUGUUUGAAACAUAAACUUGAUGUAUAAAUCUUUCUUUAUAAAACUAUCAAAAGAACUGAGUUUUACUUUUCUUUCUUUUGUCCACUGUACUGGCAAUAUUCAGAACGCUCAGACAAAUAGCUUACCUUUGAAGUGUUUCUGUCCUCUACUAGCAGUAUUCAUGUAUCUUAAGGAAAUUGGGCCUUGUUACAGUAGUUUAUGAAUGUGCCCCACCUAUGUUCUUUCCUUUGUAGGUCACCCAAUAGUAAUGGUUGGAGAGGUGCCAGAUAUAUUUUCAGCAAUCACUGAACUUGUAUCUCUGAAAAUGUUGAAUUACCAGUUGGCCUGUGAGAAUUAGGAACAGCUAUUGUUUUAUGUAAUAAAUAUUAUCUUAUGAGUAAUGCAUGUUUCGGCCACGACAGAAUGUUGUUUUUAUUCAGAACCAUGGAAGGAAGUGGAUCUCUGGUUAAUUGGUUCAUUGUGCUUGCGAGGACGAA